rnacentral:rRNA from 1 species
CCUACGGGCGACAGCAGUGGGGAAUAUUGCACAAUGGAGGGAACUCUGAUGCAGCGACGCCGCGUGAGUGAAGAAGUAUUUCGGUAUGUAAAGCUCUAUCAGCAGGGAAGAAAGUGACGGUACCUGAUCAAGACGCCCCGGCUAACUACGUGCCAGCCGCCGCGGUAAUACGUAUGGAGCAAGCGUUAUCCGGAUUUACUGGGUGUAAAGGGAGCGUAGACGGCAGCACAAGUCUGGAGUGAAAUCCCAGGGCUUAACCCUGGAAAUGCUUUAGAAACUGUGCAGCUAGAGUGCAGGAGAGGUAAGUGGAAUACCUAGUGUAGCGGUGAAAUGCGUAGAUAUUAGGAGGAACACCAGGGGCGAAGGCGGCUUGCUGGACUGUAACUGACGCUGAGGCUCGAAAGCGUGGGGAGCAAACAGGAUUAGAUACCCUUGUAGUC